CUAGUUGGUGGGGUAAGAGCCUACCAAGGCGACGAUCGGUAGCUGGUCUGAGAGGACGAUCAGCCACACUGGGAUUGAGAACGGCCCAGACUCCUACGGGGGGCAGCAGUGAGGAAUUUUCCGCAAUGGAGGAAACUCUGACGGAGCAACGCCGCGUGCAGGAGGACGCUUUUCGGAGUGUAAACUGCUUUUCUGUGGGAAGAGGAAGGACGGUACCACAGGAAGAAGCCCCGGCUAACUACGUGCCAGCAGCCGCGGUAAUACGUAGGGGGCGAGCGUUGUCCGGAGUUACUGGGCGUAAAGGGCAUGCAGGCGGUCGGACGCGUUUUGUGUGACAGCGGGUGGCUUAACUACCCGAGUAUGCGAAAGACGGUUUGACUUGAGGGCUCGAGAGGGACACGGAAUUCCGGGUGGAGUGGUGAAAUGCGUAGAGAUCCGGAGGAACACCGAAGGCGAAGGCAGUGUCCUGGCGAGUGACUGACGCUGAGGUGCGAAAGCUAGGGGAGCGAACGGGAUUAGAUACCCCGGUAGUCCUAGCCGUAAACGAUGACCACCAGGUGUGGGAGGUAUCGACCCCUUCCGUGCCGGAGUAAACACACUAAGUGGUCCGCCUGGGGAGUACGGUCGCAAGAUUAAAACUCAAAGGAAUUGACG
rnacentral:rRNA from 1 species